GCUGCACCCAUGACAUAUGGAAGUUCCUGGGCCAGAGAUCGAAUCCAGCUGCAGUUGUAACCUACGCCACAGCUGUGGCAAGGCCAGAUCUUUAACCCAUUGCACCAGGCUGGGGAUCCAACCUGCUGUGGCAUAGCAGGAAUUCUAAGAACCCCAAUUUUAUAGAUAUAAACCUAACAUAACGUUUUAGCCAACACUGAAUUUUUUUUAAAAAGAUGUUUUAUGUAGGGUCGGUUCUUUAAAAACAUUCAGAAGUUAGAACAAAGUUUAAUUAGAGGUCAUUUUUCAUGUUCUAGGAAAAAUAAGAAGUUAAACAGAGUUGUGUUCUCAUUUUCAAUAAUGAAAAUCUCCCUUAGGUUUGUAAAAGUAGUAAAAAGGACACAGGAUGAGGACAUUUUCAACUAAUAAGAGUAUAUUGUCAGAGUUCCUAUUGUGGCUCAGUGGUAAUGAACCCAACUAGUAUCCAUGAGGAUGUGGGUACGAUCCAUGGCUUUGCUCAGUAGGUUAAGGAUCCAGUGUUGCCAUGAGCUGUGGUGCAGGUCACAGUUGUGGCUUGGAUCUGUUGCCCACAGCUGUAGCUCUGAUUCUACCCCUAGCCUGGGAACUUCCAUAUGCUGCAGGUAUGGCCUUAAAAAAGCAAAAAAUAAAAUAAAGAUAAAGAAAGAGUCUAUUGUCUUGAUUUGUUGCUGUCCUCAGAAUCUGCUCUGAGUCUUUUACAGGUAAGAACAAGUUAUCCCGUGUUUCAGCUGGUGGCAGCAACUGGACUGAGAAUGUGAGAAAGCAUUGGCCUGUUUGUCCUGUGGUCAGGAGUCUUUAAUCUGGCUGUGGCAUCCUGUGCACUUAAGAUAACUAAGGCAAAGAAGUGGAGGUUACACUGUUUAGGGCCUUGAAUUCCAGGGAAAGGAUUUAAUUCAGUAGGAAACAAUUCACAUUCUUCAUCUGAAUAAGGAGAGAAGGAAGUUUGUUCUCUGUUAAGUCUUUCAACAAAUACUUAUUAUAGAAAAAUAGUAAACUCAUCAUUUCACAUAUAAUUAUUUAAUUACAGUGCCCCUUCCAGCAUUAUGAUGCUCUGAUGAUUUGUAAGUAUAUUCACUGAGACUGACAAAAGAUAGAUAUGGAGUUGGCCCUUGAACCGUGCGUAUGUGUUGCGGGGGGCACAUAGGGAUGCUGACUCUCCACACUCUGAAAAAUCUGGGUAUUACUUUACAGUCAGCCCUCCAUAUCUUUGGUUCCACAACAAGGGAUGUAUCCUACUAUGGGAUCCUAUAGUACCACAGCAAAUGUUUAGUGAAAACAGUUCCCACAUAAGUGGACCCAUGCAGUUCAAACUCUCACUGUUCAAUGGUCAACUGCAUUUUGUUCACUGAACUGUUUUGACCCCAAUGUUUCCGCAUAUCAAUACAGUUUCCCCCUCCUUUGAACUCCCCUAGUAUUUUAUAUCUACUUUAUUACGUCAUAUUUUUAUUUCAUAUUAUCGUUAUAUACAUAUAUGUCUUCUCUUUCUUACCAAAUGUUAAACCCUAGGAACUGGGGCCCAUGUUCAGCCUAUCUUUGUAUACCCUCCAGGGUUCAGCUCCAGAGGCAUUCAAAUAUGUGUUGAAUGAAUAAAUGGUUUAGUUAAUAUCUGCAUCCUAGUGAAAACACUAGACUAAGUUUAAACGUUUUAAGUUGCAUCCUAAUAUUUACUGGAAGAUCCCCGAUGAUAAUGACCGAAAGGAGUAUUUGGAAGUCCAAUUUCUCAUUUCUUUUAACCCUUUGCUCUAUUAAUUUGUCAGCAAUCUAUAAAAUACCAAACUUGUACACAUUGGUUAUAUUUUUAUUGCAAGGGGAUACAUAUCCACUGUAGACAAUUUUAUGUUUUACAAAGAAGCAAAAAGUUAAAAUCUGUCAUAAUUCUAAAUUAAAUAUAACCAGAGCUACUGUUUUAGAGGAGGUUAUGCAGCAGACUUGAUGUGCUUUUUUUGUUUUGUUUUGUCUUGUUUUUGGCUGUGGCCAUAGAAUGUGGAAGCUCCUGGGCCAGGGAUUGAACUUGUACCACAGCAGCAACCCAAGCCCCUGCAGUGACAAUGCCAAAUCCUUAGUGUUUAAUACACAUGGUUAAUCUGCCCUUUAGAAAGGGCAACUAUUUUGUGCUCCCCUUUUGGUGUUGAGAAUAUUAAUCCCAUCAAAAUAGGGUGGAGGAAAAAAAUCACUCCUUUAUAAAUGUGCAUUUCUUUGCAUAGUAAUUUAGUUGAAUAUGUUUUCAUGUGUUCACUAACCAUUUGUAUUUCCUUUGUGAAUUGCCUCUUCACAUUUUGGCUUAUUUUUUUAUUGGGCUACAGGUCUCUCUCUCUUUUUUAAAAAAAUGUUUUUUGAGAGCUAGAUGUGUAUUAAUAACCAUUUUUUUCCAGUCACAUGUCUGUCUUUUAACAUAUUUCCUUUCAGCGUCACCGAUCCCUAGGAAGAGGGUCUGAUAAACUAUCUGAAAGUCAGAUCUGUGAUGACCUCUUCCUCUCAUUUCUAAACUCAGUCAAUGUCAGGAGCUAGAAUGUCUUCCAGGAAGGGAAGCAAACAUAGCAACCACCAGUAGAAUAUUAUUUUCUCUAGGAGGACAACUGUUUUUCGAAACAAUGGUAAAAAUAGCAUUUACAAUUUGAAAAUGCUUUUACUUUUGCUGAUUACUAAAAAUUUUGAACUAAGAUGACUACUUUCUUUUCUAAAAAAAAAUUUUUAUUACUCAAUGAAUGUAUUACAUUUAUAGUUGUACAAUGAACAAGAUGACUACUUUCUUUUCACCCUUAUUCUCAUGAUAGGAAUAUCAUCUGUACUUCUGGCCUAGAAAGGAAUAGAAUAGGAAGUACACGCUCUCAAUGACAAGUCAGAGUUGGUAAUUGCAGUUGACAGUGACGUCUGUUCCUCCACUAUGGAUGCAUUGAAGUGUUCUGGGGUCUGUAUGGGAGUCAUGUAUGGCUGUGCCCCAUCCAUUGAAUAGAGAAUGAGCACUCUUAUGGUGUGUUAGCUAAGAAGUUAGCUGGGGGCAAUGCUGAAAUUCUUUCUUCUUGGAAAAUGGCAACUACGAAGGGGGAGAAAAGUGAAAGAAAUUACAAAAGGGAAAAAGCAAAGCAACAUCUCUGGGAGUGCAGAAGUACACAAAAGUGAAGAAAAGAAAAAGAAAUAGCCAUGUAAAAACAAACGAUUGAGAAGGGAGGCUUAAAAAAAACCCACAUUCUUUAAAUUUAUCAUAGGGUAAUUAUCAAAAUGUGGUGCAAUGUUUAUUUCAAUUGUUUAAACUAUAUAAGUGGGACAUUGAAAAUAUGGCAUAGCUUUUAAAUGUAUUAAAUUUAAAAGUGCAUUUCAAGUGGAAUUUAACCCUCUUACGGCAAUAAAAUACCAGUUAGUGUCUCCCAUGGGGCAUAAAUGUUGAGGGCAGUUUGUUUUCGAAAUCUUUUAAAUUAUUUUAAGCCACACACGCAUAUAGCUAAACUGGGCAUUAGAAACCCUGCAAGCUGUUUGCCAGAAUUCUAAGUCCAGUCAGAUUCCCCUAUUAUUUUCAGAUGUUCCUUCCCUAGCUGCACUUCAGAAGCAAGUGGGAAAAUGGAUCAUUUAUAACUUCAUUGGGGUUAGAUAAAUAAAAGUUGCUUGGUUAGGGGCUCUGUCUAUUUGAAGUCACUGUAAAAUUCAAUGAAAAAUAAUAAUGUGAGAAAAAGGAAUAUAUAUGUGUAUGUGUGAUUGGGUCACGUUGCUGUACAGUAGAAAACUGACAGAACACUGUAAACCAGCUAUAAUGGAAAAAAAUAAAAAUCAUUAAAUAAAAAAAAAUUGGAACACUUUCCUAAAAGAAAAACACAGAAGGAUUUACUGACCUGGGGAUGUUAGUGUAUCUAGGGACAGAGGAAGCAACAGAUAAUAAUAAUUUUUAAUUGUAUUUUUUAAUUUCUCACUUUCUUCCAAACUUUUGUUUACUUCAACACCUUCAAUAGGAAAAGGAGCAAUUCAAGACACAAAAAUGUCACAGGAUCUGGCUAGUUUCAAAACCUCUUAAAGAUUAUGAAAUUAUUAAAAUGUUUAUGAAAACAGUGCUCACGUGAAGGUUGAUUUUCCUGUAGUAGAGCACAAAUUAGAGGAAAAAUUUCAGGCUUCCUGUAGGUAGUUUUAAAGUAUUACUUUAAAUAGUACCAAUUAAGUGUAAAUGUAAAGUUAAUAGUCUAUGGGAGAGAUAAAGCCUGGGUGCUUUUAUUCCAAUUCAUGAGCAAUAAAAAGGUAAAGUAUAAUUGCUUAGAGAGAAAAAACACUAUUAUAAAAAUUAGAGAUUGCUCACCACAAGUCUGACGCAGGUUUGGGAAUCCUGUUUUUCGGAUGGUCGUGUGAGCAGCAUGACUCAAACGACAUCCUCCCUCCUUGGCUUCUUUCCAUAGUUAACCAAAACCCAGUGAUGAAAAUCACAGGAGAGGAAACCACAUCAGGAGGUUUUUAAGUUCUGACAUAAAAACAUGGUUUGCAUCACUGUGGAUGGGAGAUUCUAAAACUUGAAGGAUUUUGAUCAUGAUGAAAGGCAGGUUUAAAAACCACUAGUUGACUCCUUAAUAGUUUCACUUCAAUGAAGUGGAAAGGAACUUUCUUCUAAAACAUUUUUUUAAACAUUUUUAUUUUUUGUCAGCCUGACUUUAUGUCCUGAUUUGUGAGCCCAGACAUCUGUGAACCCUAUUGCUAUGGCUUAAGAUAAUUUUUAAGCUUAAUGAUCUUCACCAUUAUGCAUUAAUAGUAUAAUUUACCCUAUUUUUCCAACUGUGGCAAUAUGGAACGUUAAACAGCUUUUUGCAUCUGUUUUCAAAUGCCCGACUUACUUUCCUGAAUUCUAUAAUGAUUUUACAUUUCUUUCAAAUAUAUAUGUAUGUAAUAUACAAUAUGUAUAUGCACCUCCAAAUACACAUACAUACUCACUACAUACACUAUCUCUACACACACACACACACACACAUACCCUUAUACAGGGAUCAGGAGAAAAAUGUCACCUUCAUAUGUUGUAAGGAAUCCCAAAGAGUUCAAAACCCAGGAUUUGUAGUUAGUACCAAUCCACAGAAAGAUAUAAUAUUUAAUAUCACAAAAUAAUGGACUUUGAGACAAACCAUGCCUCACAACCUCGAACAUGACUAGAAUCCCGGCAGGCUCUCUUGAUUAACUUUGUCUAAACUGACAUAAAAGUAAAAAAUGAAACAUAAGUGGUACCGUUUUUGUUUUGUUUUGUUUUUCAGCUCAAUUGUUAAAAAGCCAGUUAGCUACCUGUGAAUGUUCGCCGCAUACACUAUACUUUGAAGACACGUCACAAUCAGAAGUGCCAAACUCUUAAGCGCUUGCACCUACCCGACCUUCUAUCUGGAAAACCGCUAAUAAAACAGAAACCUGCAAGGCAUUAUUGCCGCCUCAGAGGAGACGUGUUUGUAAUUAAGUAAACCUGGGCCUGAGUUGGCAGAGUCCUGUCUCGCGGAGUCCUCCGUCCUCGCCGAGUGGGAGGGUCACACGGGGAGAGACUAAUAAGGGCAGUGAUGCGUCCCCCUUCCCCACUCGCAGGGCUCUCACUGCUCGCGGUGCGGCAGCCGCGCGCGGACUCCGCUGCGCCUCCGAGGGGGCCAGGCACGCGGUCAAGGUAAGCUGCGCCGCGCCGCGACCCUGCCUCCCACCCGCUCCCUCGCACGCACGCGGCUCCGGUCAUCCGCUCGCGUUUCUGUUCAUUCGCGUGCAUCUCCCUUUUCCAGAAAAGCUGGAAACCCUGCUACACACAGAGAUGGGUCGGGCGGAUAAAUACCGCACACCUGCGAUUACGCAUUCGGAUAGGUAGCUUAAGCAUGGGACCAGUAAGGUUUAGCACGACCUGGCCGCUUGAACACGCUGCGCAUUCUGUAGGUCGUGUUCAUGUGUUCACAUAAUGCAGGCUGCGGGCUUUAUACUUAGUUCUAGGUGGUUCUGCCGGCUCUGUGUUUGUAAGGCAGAACCAGGAGGCUGCUGAUGCGUGAGAACAGACACUAAAUACAGAAGAAAAAAAUAUCUUUGGGGUGAAAUGCACAAAACAAACUCGAUAUGAAUUCAUGCCGUUAGAGCUUAUUUUUUGGUCUCUGUCUAGAGCCGUCCUUCCCUGGAUGCGAGGAAACAGUUAAGGGGCAUAAAUUAGGAAACGCGGGGUUGCGGCACCUCCUCCCCGCCCGGGUUACCGGUUCCGACCUGCGGCUGCUUCUCCCCGCGCGGCUCCCGGGGGCACGGCGCCGGCGUCCCGGGACUCGGCCUCCCGGGCCCCAGCCUC
rnacentral:lncRNA from 1 species